UGCGUACCCAAGUACAAUAGCGUCCAACGGUCUCAAAAGUAUUUGCCAGAUCCGAAAUAUCUUGACGUUGACCAUGAGAAGAAAAGCAAAUGAGAUUGCUUUAAUAGACAUUUCGAAUGUAAGACACCCAGUAAUUCUACUUUGUGCGUACAAUAUAUAAAAUCUAAACAAAUACCCUAAGUAAAUUAUCUAAUCGGAAAAGAAAUGUCCAAAGUGAGGAAAAUGCCGGAUCUUUAGCGGUUCAAAUAACAAGAUCCCAUCAACUUUUGGUGGAUUGGUAUCACAAUCCUUACAUAUUUUGAUGUACUGGUAACAAAAGUUAAAAAAGAUCUUUCUUAUAGAAACCUAUGCAACUGGUAUAUCUGGAUCUUCCUGGAUUAAUGUACAUAUAACACAUAACAUACAACACAUAUGUAUGUAUGGAUCCUUGAAGAUGAUCAAAAACACAUCCAUCUUGCUUUAACAUAAAUUUGUAUAAACACAAAAUACCUUAAAAUUCUACAAGUACUGGGUAUACAAAGUAUAAACUCAAUACGAUUACAAAUGUUUGGAUGUACAUAUAGAUAACCUAUGCAUACAUAUGUGUCAAUGUGAAAACAAUUUUGAAUCGAAAGCGGAAAAAUGGUUCAGUUUGGAAGAACACCGAAAGCAACAGAUAUAAAUACCUGGAAGAAUCUUCGCUGGCCCUGAGAAGUUUAUAUUGUUACGCAUAGGCAGAUCAAGUAGACCGAGGAUUGGGUUGCUAUGCCGUAUUGAGUCAAUAGUAUUGACUGAGAAUACUCAGUCUUGGCUCAAAGUUGUUUGGAACAACAUAUUUACAUACAUACAUACAUAUGUAUUUAACCAUCUGGAACCACUCGUGCAUCUUUCCCGUUAAGGAUUCUGUUAAAGGCCUGGUCUUUCAAUGGGGGGGAGUAUGUUCGGAGCAACAGCCGCCAAUAGCUCUUAGCAAAUUUCAAUUAUUUUAUCUAACAUUUCUUAUCCGAAUGCUUUUAAGUUAUCUGUUGUCGCGCUCAUGUAAAUUACGCUCUUAAAUUUGUAAACUUUAACACCCGAAAUCGAAGUUCACGGAAAUUGUAAAAUUGUAAAACAUCGAACAACAAACCACUUAAUUUAAAUCUAA